rnacentral:lncRNA from 1 species
UGUAGUUGUGUUGUUGUGGGGUGUGGUGUUGCUGGGGCGUAGUUGGGUUGUUGUGGGGCGUGGUUGUGUUGUUGGGGGUG